rnacentral:rRNA from 1 species
UACAGAGGUGCUCAAGCGUUUGUUCGGAUUCAUUGGGGCGUAAAAGGGUGCGUAGGCGGCGCGGUAAGUCGGGUGUGAAAAUCCGUUGGAGCUUAACUCCGAAACUGCAUUCGAUACUGCCGUGCUUGAGGACUGGGAGAGGAGACUGGAAUUUACGGUGUAGCGGUGAAAUGCGUAGAUAUCGUAAGGGAAGACCAGUGGCGAAGGCGGGUCUCUGGACAGUUCCUGACG